CGCGUAGGUGGCUUCGUAAGUCCGUUGUGAAAGUCAAAGGCUCAACCUUUGAAAGCCGAUGGAUACUGCGGAGCUAGAGUACGGAAGAGGCGAGUGGAAUUCCUGGUGUAGCGGUGGAAUGCGCAGAUAUCAGGAGGAACACCAAUAGCGAAGGCAGCUCGCUGGGACGUUACUGACACUGAGGCGCGAAAGCGUGGGGAGCGAACA
rnacentral:rRNA from 1 species